CUAAAUUGUUGUCAUGCAGUUCUUGGCAGAACCUAAAUGAUUCAGCUCUCUGGCUCUGGGGACAGACAACGCCAGUAUGCUCUGGCUGGGUACUAUAGUGCAUGCUAUUUCACCUCUGUAAGCCUGAGUCUUCACAUCUGUAAAACUGGGAUAUCAAUUGUGCCUCCCUCAUGGGCUUGUUGAAGUGUUAAGUGUUCAGCUCUCGGCAGUGUUAAUUUGAAUUCUCCCCAGAGAAGAGCUUUAGGGAACAAGAUGGCACCAAAAUCAUAUUUUUGGCAUGUCUUUCAGACAACAGAUAAAAGGAUGAUCAGUUCUGAAUGCUCAAAGACUGGCUUAGUCAGCCUCUCCUCAUGCCCUCCUCCCCUGAUGUCCUCAGUGAUGUGGGAGCCCUCGUGAGGACUCCCCAGCAAGCCAGCCUACAUGCAGUGCGAUGACCUGAAAACUCAGUCAUCUGCAGACUCCAUGACGUGAGCAUGAGUCACUGAACUCUCUAAAUGUUACACUCUACAAGCCCAGAGAGAUACCAAAAUGCACAAGCCUCGGCCAUCAUCAAGGAACUGAGAAAAUGUGUCUUCAACCAUGAGGAGGAAAAUUCAAAGGAGUUCCGAACAUAUACAAAUACAUGUAAAGGGACAGAGAUGAAAGGAAUGGAGCCAUCGGAGCGGGAGUACAGGGGGAGAGGGAGCAGCACCUAUGCCCAAGCCCCGACUGGGCAGCCUGGGCCAGCCCUCAGGAUGAGAGCAAGGUUCUCAAUGCCCUUCCUCACCUCCCUCCUCAAUGGUGUUCUUCAUCCUCACCAUCCCAUCACCUCCAGAGACCAGUGUGUUUGUGGCACCCUUCUUCCCAGUCAAGCCUGCUCUCAGAAAUCAUCCUUGGGAAGGGUCAACAUGAUAGCCACAUAUGGAAGGGGCGUGGAGAAGAAAGGACAGGGGAAAAAGAAGAAAGGUUGUUUUUACCAUCAGCCCCGUGUUGAAGUCAACAGGAAAUGGCCCAGUGUGGAUCAACCACCAUACUGUCCCGAGUAA
rnacentral:lncRNA from 1 species